rnacentral:rRNA from 1 species
AUGAACGCUAGCGGCAGGCUUAACACAUGCAAGUCGAGGGGCAGCGGGGAGUAGCAAUACUCCGCCGGCGACCGGCGCACGGGUGCGUAACGCGUAUGCAACCUACCUUUAACAGGGGCAUAACACUGAGAAAUUGGUACUAAUUCCCCAUAACAUUCGAGAAGGCAUCUUCUUGGGUUAAAAACUCCGGUGGUUAAAGAUGGGCAUGCGUUGUAUUAGCUAGUUGGUGAGGUAACGGCUCACCAAGGCGACGAUACAUAGGGGGACUGAGAGGUUAACCCCCCACAUUGGUACUGAGACACGGACCAAACUCCUACGGGAGGCAGCAGUGAGGAAUAUUGGUCAAUGGACGCAAGUCUGAACCAGCCAUGCCGCGUGCAGGAAGACGGCUCUAUGAGUUGUAAACUGCUUUUGUACUAGGGUAAACGCUCUUACGUGUAGGAGCCUGAAAGUAUAGUACGAAUAAGGAUCGGCUAACUCCGUGCCAGCAGCCGCGGUAAUACGGAGGAUCCAAGCGUUAUCCGGAUUUAUUGGGUUUAAAGGGUGCGUAGGCGGUUUGAUAAGUUAGAGGUGAAAUACCGGGGCUCAACUCCGGAACUGCCUCUAAUACUGUUGAACUAGAGAGUAGUUGCGGUAGGCGGAAUGUAUGGUGUAGCGGUGAAAUGCUUAGAGAUCAUACAGAACACCGAUUGCGAAGGCAGCUUACCAAACUAUAUCUGACGUUGAGGCACGAAAGCGUGGGGAGCAAACAGGAUUAGAUACCCUGGUAGUCCACGCAGUAAACGAUGAUAACUCGUUGUCGGCGAUACACAGUCGGUGACUAAGCGAAAGCGAUAAGUUAUCCACCUGGGGAGUACGUUCGCAAGAAUGAAACUCAAAGGAAUUGACGGGGGCCCGCACAAGCGGUGGAGUAUGUGGUUUAAUUCGACGCAACGCGAAGAACCUUACCAAGGCUUGACAUUGAUUGAACGCUCUAGAGAUAGAGAUUUCCCUUCGGGGACAAGAAAACAGGUGGUGCAUGGCUGUCGUCAGCUCGUGUCGUGAGAUGUUGGGUUAAGUCCCGCAACGAGCGCAACCCCUGUUUCUAGUUGCCAGCACGUCAAGGUGGGAACUCUAGAAAGACUGCCGUAGAUAAUACGGAGGAAGGUGGGGAUGACGUCAAAUCAUCAUGCCCUUUAUGUCUUGGGCUACACACGUACUACAAUGGCUAUAACAAAGAGAAGCGAGACAGUGAUGUGGAGCAAAACUCAAAAAAAUAGUCUCAGUUCGGAUUGAAGGCUGAAAUUCGCCUUCAUGAAGCUGGAAUUGCUAGUAAUGGCAGGUCAGCAUACUGCCGUGAAUACGUUCCCGGGCCUUGUACACACCGCCCGUCACACCAUGAGAGUUGGGGAUACCCGAAGCCUGUGAGCCAACAGUUUACUGAGGCAGCAGUCGAAGGUAGAAUCAAUGAUUGGGGUG